ACACUCCUACGGGAGGCAGCAGUGGGGAAUAUUGGACAAUGGGCGCAAGCCUGAUCCAGCCAUGCCGCGUGAGUGAUGAAGGCCCUAGGGUUGUAAAGCUCUUUCACCGGUGAAGAUAAUGACGGUAACCGGAGAAGAAGCCCCGGCUAACUUCGUGCCAGCAGCCGCGGUAAUACGAAGGGGGCUAGCGUUGUUCGGAUUUACUGGGCGUAAAGCGCACGUAGGCGGACUAUUAAGUCAGGGGUGAAAUCCCGGGGCUCAACCCCGGAACUGCCUUUGAUACUGGUAGUCUUGAGUUCGAGAGAGGUGAGUGGAAUUCCGAGUGUAGAGGUGAAAUUCGUAGAUAUUCGGAGGAACACCAGUGGCGAAGGCGGCUCACUGGCUCGAUACUGACGCUGAGGUGCGAAAGCGUGGGGAGCAAACGGGAUUAGAUACCCGGGUAGUCCC
rnacentral:rRNA from 1 species